rnacentral:tRNA from 1 species
GACGAGGUGGCCGACAGGCUAAGGCGAUGGACUGCUAAUCCCCUGUGCUGUGCACGCGUGGGUUAGAAUCCCACCCUCGUCG